rnacentral:rRNA from 1 species
CAGCACCUCAAGUGGUCAGGAUGAUUAUUGGGCCUAAAGCAUCCGUAGCCGGCUUUGUUAGUUUUCGGUUAAAUCCAUACGCUCAACGUAUGGGCUGCCGGGAAUACUGCAAAGCUAGGGAGUGGGAGAGGUAGACGGUACUCGGUAGGAAGGGGUAAAAUCCUUUGAUCUAUUGAUGACCACCUGUGGCGAAGGCGGUCUACCAGAACACGUCCGACGGUGAGGGAUGAAAGCUGGGGGAGCAAACCGGAUUAGAUACCCGAGUAGUCC